rnacentral:rRNA from 1 species
CCUACGGGAGGCUGCAGUGGGGAAUAUUGGACAAUGGGGGGAACCCUGAUCCAGCCAUGCCGCGUGUGUGAAGAAGGCCCUCGGGUUGUAAAGCACUUUCAGUGAGGAAGAACGCCUGGUGGUUAAUACCCAUCAGGAAAGACAUCACUCACAGAAGAAGCACCGGCUAACUCCGUGCCAGCAGCCGCGGUAAUACGGAGGGUGCGAGCGUUAAUCGGAAUUACUGGGCGUAAAGCGCGCGUAGGUGGCUUGAUAAGCCGGUUGUGAAAGCCCCGGGCUCAACCUGGGAACGGCAUCCGGAACUGUCAAGCUAGAGUGCAGGAGAGGAAGGUAGAAUUCCAGGUGUAGCGGUGAAAUGCGUAGAGAUCGGGAGGGAUACCAGUGGCGAAGGCGGCCUUCUGGACUGACACUGACACUGAGGUGCGAAAGCGUGGGUAGCAAACAGGAUUAGAUACCCUUGUAGUC